rnacentral:rRNA from 1 species
CUUGCACCUGGUGGCGAGUGGCGAACGGGUGAGUAAUACAUCGGAACGUACCUUAUCGUGGGGGAUAACGCAGCGAAAGCUGUGCUAAUACCGCAUACGCCCUGAGGGGGAAAGCGGGGGAUCGAAAGACCUCGCGCGAUUAGAGCGGCCGAUGCCUGAUUAGCUUGUUGGUGGGGUAAAAGCCCACCAAGGCGACGAUCAGUAGCUGGUCUGAGAGGACGAUCAGCCACACUGGGACUGAGACACGGCCCAGACUCCUACGGGAGGCAGCAGUGGGGAAUUUUGGACAAUGGGGGAAACCCUGAUCCAGCAAUGCCGCGUGAGUGAAGAAGGCCUUCGGGUUGUAAAGCUCUUUUGUCAGGGAAGAAACACCGGCUCUAACACAGUCCGGGAAUGACGGUACCUGAAGAAUAAGCACCGGCUAACUACGUGCCAGCAGCCGCGGUAAUACGUAGGGUGCGAGCGUUAAUCGGAAUUACUGGGCGUAUAGCGUGCGCAGGCGGUUAUACAAGACAGGCGUGAAAUCCCCGGGCUUAACCUGGGAAUGGCGCCUGUGACUGUAUAGCUAGAGUGUGUCAGAGGGGGGUAGAAUUCCACGUGUAGCAGUGAAAUGCGUAGAUAUGUGGAGGAAUACCAAUGGCGAAGGCAGCCCCCUGGGAUAACACUGACGCUCAUGCACGAAAGCGUGGGGAGCAAACAG